UACAGAGGGUGCGAGCGUUAAUCGGAAUCAUUGGGCGUAAAGCGCGCGUAGGCGGCGAAGCAAGUUGGAUGUGAAAGCCCUGGGCUCAACCUAGGAUGUGCAUACAAAACUGCUUCGCUUGAAUCUCGGAGGGGGUCAGGGAAUUCCCGGUGUAGAGGUGAAAGUUCGUAGAUAUUCGCAAGAACACCAGUGGCGAAGGCGGCUUACGUGGCCCGGUUCUCGAGCGCUGAGGCGCGAAAGCGUGGGGAGCAAACAGG
rnacentral:rRNA from 1 species